rnacentral:rRNA from 1 species
CUUAACACAUGCAAGUCGAGCGGGGAAAGGUAGCUUGCUACCUGACCUAGCGGCGGACGGGUGAGUAAUGCUUAGGAAUCUGCCUAUUAGUGGGGGACAACAUCUCGAAAGGGAUGCUAAUACCGCAUACGUCCUACGGGAGAAAGCAGGGGACCUUCGGGCCUUGCGCUAAUAGAUGAGCCUAAGUCGGAUUAGCUAGUUGGUGGGGUAAAGGCCUACCAAGGCGACGAUCUGUAGCGGGUCUGAGAGGAUGAUCCGCCACACUGGGACUGAGACACGGCCCAGACUCCUACGGGAGGCAGCAGUGGGGAAUAUUGGACAAUGGGGGGAACCCUGAUCCAGCCAUGCCGCGUGUGUGAAGAAGGCCUUUUGGUUGUAAAGCACUUUAAGCGAGGAGGAGGCUACCGAGAUUAAUACUCUUGGAUAGUGGACGUUACUCGCAGAAUAAGCACCGGCUAACUCUGUGCCAGCAGCCGCGGUAAUACAGAGGGUGCAAGCGUUAAUCGGAUUUACUGGGCGUAAAGCGCGCGUAGGUGGCCAAUUAAGUCAAAUGUGAAAUCCCCGAGCUUAACUUGGGAAUUGCAUUCGAUACUGGUUGGCUAGAGUAUGGGAGAGGAUGGUAAAAUCCAGGUGUACGGUGAAAUGCGUAAAGAUCUGGAGGAAUACCGAUUGGCGAA